GUGGCUGAGCCGCGGGCUACCCGCCCUGUGAGGAGGCCCCGCCUCCCCAGUGGGCGCCGGCGCUCUGGCUGACCAGACCCCUCUGUCUCCAGCGAGAGACACGCUCCGCGCUGCGGGGACAGAGCCUGGCCACAGGGUCCCGGCCUGGGGCUCGGUCCCGGGGGAGCCGCUUUGGCCGUUGGAAUUCUGCCUUCGGAGCAGGAGUUUCCCCGAGGGGAGGUACGCCGUUCCUGGAGGUACUGCAGUACCAGGUCGACGUGUGGCGUGGAUGGAGCAAGCUCCUAUUCCGUCUCCCUAGCAGAGCAGAGCUCAGUACAUCUGGAAAGGAGAAGAUCCCCAUAACAGAAAAGAGAAGUCAGGUUCCGUUUCCACUGCCUUAUCGUGUGAUGUGCUGGAGAGCUGCUUAUCCCUGUUCCUGCGCGGCAUGCGCUCUGAAUAUAAGUCUGUCUCUGAGGAGAUUAGAAUCCAAAGAGCUUCUGAGGGGCAGGUCUGCUCUAGCUCUGUGGAGAAGAGACCGAGACUGUGAAGACUCUGGGGGUUCCCAGUUUGAUAUUUAAGUAUUGAAAAUGUGCCAUUUAUUGGGGAGGGGCUGUCAUCUCAAAGGUUCCUUUGCCUUUCCCUCCCUUCCUUUCGCUGCCUCUCAGACAAGGUAAAGCUGCAACAAUGGAGUCCUAGAUUUUAAGGGCAGCAGGGACAAUGGGAUCAUUUGAUCUGACUGCCUGUGUAACACAGGUCAUAGAAUUUCAUCCAUUUCCCCCUGUACGGAGCCAAGUAACGUGUUGGACUACGUUGGCAUGCAGGCCUGAUGGCUGGAGAGAGGGAGAAUACAACACUGCCCUCAGCAGUUUCUUCCAGUGGGGCACCAAUGAACAUGCCAAAGCUGUCACGUGGGAGCCCUGCAGCUUUAGGUGCUUGUCUACAUGGGAAUAGUUCCUGCCAUGGCCGUAGCAGAAUAGCUUUGGAAGGGGAGUAGUAAUUUUUGGGAAUAAAGUUGUUUUUAUUUGGAACAGAGUGUCCGUGUCCAGGGGUUAUACUGGAAGAGCUACAGAGCAGUGCUUACGCUGCUUCUAGGAGGCCAGUCAAUUCCCCCAUGUAGACAAGCCUUUAGACUGCAGGUUUUGUGGGUCCCAACAGCCAGCUCUGCUCAGUCUCCAGAGCUCACUUCGUUUUGGCAGCUUUCUCUUUCUCUCUCUCUCUCUCCCCCGUUGGGGCUGUGGAGCUCUGGCGCCACCUGCUGGUCCUGAUUUCAAAGCUUGGUGGAAAAACAAAAAACUGCAAGGGAGGGGGAAACAACUCUCGAGCCACUGAGCCCUGGUCUAGACUUCCAGCGUAUGUUGCUAUAAAAUGCAUUCCCUGAGCGACGCAUUAUAUCGACCUAGCCCCCCGCCCGCCCCCCGUGUAGACUGGUUUCUACUAGGGAGAGAGCUACCGCCUCUCUGGGAGGGGAAGCACCUAU